AAGUUUCCUCAAUACAAUAUUAAAUAUUACUUGUAGUUUCAAUAAACACAUAAAUAGUUUUUUCACAAAUGUAAUACCGGCCGAGAUAGCGUCAAACAUUUUUACAGUAUUACCUAAAUACAAUGUACACAGGCAGACAGAUUACAGAUAUAUGACGGUUUAUAAAAUUAUUAAUCAAAUUAGCUAUUAUAAAGCGUUUCUUAUAGUUCAUAGGUGUAUAUGAUAUGAAAAAAUGAAAAACUGUAGUACAGUAAAGGCAGUAAAACCAGUAAAUACUGGCAGUGAAUGUCAACUUGAGUAUAUUUAUAGUUUUAUGGCCCCUUUCUAAACAUUAAUUAGUUUGAAAUGUAACCCUUGUAGAUUUCCUGAUCUCAAAAAAAAUCCUGAGUUGCAUGCUGUUUGGGUGGAGAACAUGAAUAAGGAUGCAGCAGUAAAGUUUCGAAGAAGGGGAGUCGUCUUUGCUCGGAGCAUUUCAGCGCGGACAUGUUGCAGGAGGUUGGACAAAGAAUGAUGCAGCUGGCAGAUGCUGCCCCUACUCUAUUUCAGGGCUCUCAGAAAGCAGGAUGGCUACCGACAGCGAGGUGCUGCAAAAAAGUGAUCGUGAUACUGCAGAAGAGAAUGAAGCUACGAUAUCGGGAG